rnacentral:lncRNA from 1 species
UGAUUACGCGUUUAAAUAUAACAGUUUAUGAUAUAACGAUUUGUAGAUGUUAAGUACAGUUUUAUUAUUUAAAAAAUAUAAGAAUGUGUAUGUCUUUUCGUAAUAAUAUAUAAGAGACUCUGAACUUUAACGAUCGAGUUGUUGAAGAAGUCCCGAUGAAGGGACGAAAAGUUCAAUAAGAUCGAAA